rnacentral:rRNA from 1 species
UACGUAGGGGUGCAAGCGUUAAUCGGAAUUACUGGGCGUAAAGCGUGCGCAGGCGGUUAUGUAAGACAGGUGUGAAAUCCCAGGGCUUAACCUUGGAACUGCAUUUGUGACUGCAUAGCUAGAGUACGGUAGAGGGGGGAUGGAAUUCCGCGUGUAGCAGUGAAAUGCGUAGAUAUGCGGAGGAACACCGAUGGCGAAGGCAAUCCCCUGGACCUGUACUGACGCUCAUGCACGAAAGCGUGGGGAGCAAACAGG